AGGGUUAGUCUUGACCUCUGGUAGCACACGAUUUGUGGAUGAUGGGUACAGGUCUGGAAGUCUGAAGUCUAU
ensembl:snoRNA Gm23508 predicted gene, 23508